rnacentral:lncRNA from 1 species
UGCCUGGGAGACCCCAACCUUACUGGUGGGACAAGGCAGUGUGUGUGUGUUUGUGAGGGAGUGAGUAAGCACCAAGAAAUCUCCAGCACUACAUCUGCAGCAAUACCUGUUGCAAUUUGCCCUUUUAAGGUGUCUCCUCUACUGGAUCUCUCAGUUAAAUUCCAGGAGCCUGUAACACCCAAGGAAUGACCCAAGCAUUACAGUCAGCAUAACCCCAGGAUCAUGAAGCCUUGUGGAUCCCAGGGAAGGGGCAUCACCAGCUGAGCAUCUGAUGGAUGUCAAGAUCCCAGCGCUGCUGCAUGACCAGCAUGUUGGAGGUGAGCAGGCAGGGGAGAGGAUCCCUCCCUUCU